rnacentral:rRNA from 1 species
UACGUAGGGGGCGAGCGUUGUCCGGAGUUACUGGGCGUAAAGCGCGCGCAGGCGGCCACGUGCGUCGGUCGUGAAAUUCCCCGGCUCAACCGGGGCGGGUCGACCGAAACGGGGUGGCUGGAGGGCGACAGAGGGGGGUGGAAUGCCGUGUGGAGCAGUGAAAUGCGUAGAGACGCGGCGGAACACCGGCGGCGAAGGCGGCCCCCUGGGGCGCCCCUGACGCUGAGGCGCGAAGGCCGGGGGAGCGAACGGG